rnacentral:lncRNA from 1 species
UCCUGGCUAGGGCUUCACCCUCUGGCUUGUGCCCACGAACCUAGGUGAGGACAGGCACUCCUGCCUUUGGGCCCAAAUGUUGCAUUUUCCAAAACCACCCUGGCCCACCACACCCCCAUCCUGGGCGGAUAAAAACUGAGACCCUAGCAGGCAGAUAGAUACACAAGCGUCUGGACGUCCAGAGGAGGGGAUCAGCGGAAGAAGACACAAGCAGCCGGACAUCGAGAGGAUGUCGAGGGGAGCAUGCCAGUGGAAGAGCACAUGACAGACACUGGCAGGACAGCAGGCCAUUGACUGGAGGAACGAUGUGGAGUUUAGCGAGAUCAGGAGGAGGAGAGCACGGGCCGCUAAGCAGAGGGACCCCUGGUGCAUCUCCCAUCUGGCUCCCCCAUCUGCUGAGAACUACUUCUACUCAGUAAAACCUCGGACUCAUUCUCCAAGCCCUCGCGUGAUCUGGUUCUUCCGGUACACCACGGCAGGAAACCCUGGGAUACAGAAAUCCCUCCGUCCUUGUGGAUUUUAGAAUGCCAAGCUGACAUUUUGAGUUUUUAUGAGAAACCAGAAAAUUUGGUGUGAAGACCCUAAGUGGUGUGUCUGACUUACAGCAGGCCCACAGCAAAUACAUUGGAGACUUCUCAACUUUCUGCUUCUGAUGAUCUCAACUUGUGGUAUGGCAAAAGGAGAGCAAAAUGUUCACCCAGGGGUCUGAGUUUGGUUCAAGAGAGGAACUACAGCUGUUGGUGACUACAACCAUCUGCCCAGAUGACAUCGUGAUCAACUCCUCUGAAUCACUCUAAAGGAACGAGAAGUCCUGGCAGCUGAGUCAUGAUCCCCCAGGAGCCAUUAAGAAGUUAAUCUUCAGUCACUUCCAUCCAAACAGAAGAAAACCCAUGAAGGAUGAGAACUAUGGGUCCUGAGAAUGACAGGUAAUUGGUGCCACUUUAUUCACAGAAUCCAAUAAAUAGUACUCUUUGAUUCACAUAUUUAAUGCUCAUUAUUGUACAUUUUUAUAAAGACAAGUUAGUCUAAAUUGCCAUUCAUCUCUUUCUUAUCAAAGUCCUACCCAACACAUGAUCAUAUCAUCAGAAAUCAGAUAUUUUCUUGUUGAAUGCCCUACCUAACUCAUUCAAUUGUAAUUUUCUGGGAAUGGUGACCAGAGAUUUGAUAUUUUUGGAAGUUACAUCAAAUCCUCAUUACUUUAUAAGUGAUUUAAAAUUUAUCACAUGGUACACUUUUCAUAUCUUUCAAAGGAUUAAUAUAUAAAAAAUAUAUAGUUAAUGCUCAGCUUUAAAGACAUUAAAGGACAGAGUUAUACAGAAAGAAAGAUCCAGAGAUCUUUCUUUAAUAAAGAUAUUAAAAUUGAAUCUGCUUAUUCAAGUAUAAUGAUAGAACAGAAAGAGAUCUUAAAAUUGUUUAAUCUCUUCCUUGGCUUUCAAAAAUAUAAAGUCUUCUUUAUUGGAGAUUUCUUUAUCCAUAGAAUAUCUUAAUUCCCCACUCCCCAACUUCCUCCCCAUGUGAAGUUUUAUCUGUCUUUAAAAUAUUUGUGUUGUCUUCUUCAGGAUAUAUCAUUGAUUGGCACUUUUUGAUUCUAGUUUUAUAUACUGUUAUCCUUGUAUAUUAAAGUAGGUCUCAAAUAUAUCUUUCAUGGUGGUGUGUAAGGUUCUGAGAGAGCUGGAAAAAAGGUAUAAGCUCCCUUCUAAAGUGCAAGUAUAUACUUGCAGAGAUAUUUUUUCACUUACAUUCUUGGAGAUCAUCCAUGGUCUCCCCAUGUCUUUUACAAAAGAGGUUUCCAGCACCUAUUAGGGAAGCUAGAUGGUCACUUGUAUCUUCCUUAUCUCUGUAUUAGAUGAUAAUAUCGAAUGCAGGUAAGUGGUGGUGGGGAGAGUAAUAUUGACAGAAUAGUUAUAUGGCAAACAUUGGCACCUCAGAAAUUUUUUGCUUUUUUGAGGGCUCUUAUUAAUAUUUGCAAACUUUAAAAAGCCUUGAAAAGAGUUUUAUCCAGAGCUCACCACAUAUAGAAAAACAGAUCUCUCUUGUUAUGGGAAUUGAGGCUAGUCCAAAUUCCCCCAGAUUAAACAUCUUUCCUCAUUUGGCACAUUCUUCAGCUGUUCCUUAAGAAAAAAUCAUACUAAGGAAAGUUAAUUCUGGGAAGUCUAGAAUUAGAAUAAAAUUAUUACACUAAAAGGAAAGCCCAGAUAUCUCUUUAAAAAUGCUUAAUUUUUUUGAAAACUCACAUCAGCACCAGAUCAUUUCUUUAAUGUGUACAGAUUUCCUUUCUUCAUUGACUAAAUAGCUUUGCUAAACGAGAUUAAAACCACAUAACUCAAAUGAGACAUAUAAGAUCUUGAAUAAUGUUCACAUAGCUACAACAUCAAAUUCCAGUGCUAAUAUAAAUUAUGUCUACUACGUUUUCAUUUAUUUGGGAUUAUCUGUUUGCCUCAAGUGGUGUAAAAAAAUUGAGCAGGAACCACCUGAAACUUCCUUUCACAACAAGAGAAAGUUGUAAUUUGUAUUUACUUUACCUAGCUUUCUUUAUAUGAAUGUAGCCAAGAAGCAGGGGAGGAAGGACAAUUACAGGAAAUUGUGAUAGGAAACUAUUAGGAAAAGCAAUUUGUAAUUUCUGCUAAAACUCUAGGUAAAUAACCCUGAGCAUUCAUAGUCUGGCAAGU